rnacentral:rRNA from 1 species
UCAUGCCGCGUGAGUGAAGAAGGCCUUCGGGUUGUAAAGCUCUUUUGUCAGGGAAGAAACACCGACUCUAACACAGUUCGGGAAUGACGGUACCUGAAGAAUAAGCACCGGCUAACUACGUGCCAGCAGCCGCGGUAAUACGUAGGGUGCGAGCGUUAAUCGGAAUUACUGGGCGUAAAGCGUGCGCAGGCGGUUGUACAAGACAGGCGUGAAAUCCCCGGGCUUAACCUGGGAAUGGCGCCUGUGACUGUACGGCUAGAGUGUGUCAGAGGGGGGUAGAAUUCCACGUGUAGCAGUGAAAUGCGUAGAUAUGUGGAGGAAUACCAAUGGCGAAGGCAGCCCCCUGGGAUAACACUGACGCUCAUGCACGAAAGCGUGGGGAGCAAACAGGAUUAGAUACCCUGGUAGUCCACGCCCUAAACGAUGCUGACUAGUUGUUCGGGAUUUACAUCCUGAGUAACGUAGCUAACGCGUGAAGUCAGCCGCCUGGGGAGUACGGUCGCAAGAUUAAAACUCAAAGGAAUUGACGGGGACCCGCACAAGCGGUGGAUGAUGUGGAUUAAUUCGAUGCAACGCGAAAAAGCUUACCUACCUUUGACAUGUCACUAACGAAGUAGAGAUACAUUAGGUGC